CAUGAGCAUCUGGAAAUUAACAUAUAAGUCAGUAGGAUACGACAUCGACUCCCAUGACAUGCAAUUAUGUCAGUCAGAUAAAUAGUUUGCAUUCAUAAAUAAUAAGCAAUUAUGUUUUAGAAAAUCAGAGCCUAGAUAAAGGAAUUAAAGGAGCCACGGAAAUGGAAAACAAAGAGAAUGUAGGUUUGGAAGAUCAAUGUGAGGUAGUGGGGUAGAAAAGGGAAGGUACAAG
rnacentral:lncRNA from 1 species